rnacentral:lncRNA from 1 species
GGGUGUCGAGAGCUCGAUGAGCGGAGGGACAGGAGGAAGCCCCAGCGGGCCUGUGCUACCCAGCCGCUCAAGAGUCGGGGAGCGUCCGCUGGUGCCGGUUGGGCUGCUGAGGACGAAAAAGCUCCCCGGACCAUCGAAUCUGUGUCGUGAGCGUGUGAUAACGCCUCGCAAACAACUCUGUGAUUACGAUAGUGAGGACGAUUUUCAUCCGGCCAAGAGACUGAGAGCCGCCCCUGCAAGAACUGCAAAGAAGAAGAAGGAGGAGCAGAAGAAGAAGACAGUGGAGGAUCGUGAUAGUGGAAGUGCAGCGACACUGUUGCUCGAUAAGGAGAUCAAGCUGUGGGUGUUGGAGUGGGCAGAGGAGACUGCAGCCGCCACACACUUUCUGGAGCAGCAGGGGGAGCUACAGUUCACGCGUCCUCAGGUGGAGGAGGACACUACAGCAUGGCCACUGCAUCUUCAGGAGGAUUCCGCAGCAUCUGACUCAACUCGAGCUGAAUUUUCUUCAGAAGUCAGGAAAAGGCUGGUUGCUGCCUUCUUACAGAAAGAAAAAUGACAGCGUGUAUUUUGUUCUUGUUACUGUCUUCAAUGUCAGUCUUAAUAAAGAAAAAACAAGAAGACAUGAAAAUGUGUAAUAGAGGGGAGAUUUUCUUCAAUCUAAAUUUCAAAUCCUACUAAGUAUUCAUGUCUCUCAGAAGAGGACAAUGGUUUAAAUUGAAUAGUUUUUACACUGUGCCAUAAAGAAUUAUUCUGUAUUCCACUGACAAUCGUAACAGCUGAGUCAGAGCUGAUUGUAUUAAACCACAUAUUGAUGAAAGAUACUAUGAGGAAGUUUCAUAUAGAAUAUAUUAGUAUAUGAUUCCUAAUCAUGUGAUGCAGCUUCCUGCCUUUCUGCUGUCUCUCAAUGACAGAAGAAAAGUAUAAAUGAUGAGGCUCUUAUAGUACAGCUCAUUUUAGGGAACUGCACACUUGAUAGUAUCUGAGGUGAGUUUGGUUAGAACAGU